AGUCACUGACAUUAGAUACCCCGGUAGUCCAGGGUGUAAACGCUGCAGACUUGGUGUUGGAAGCCCUUCGGGGGUGCUCAGUGCCGGAGAGAAGUUGUUAAGUCUGCUACUUGGGGAGUACGUCCGCAAGGAUGAAACUUAAAGGAAUUGGCGGGGGAGCACCGCAACGGGAGGAGCGUGCGGUUUAAUUGGAUUCAACGCCGAAAAACUCACCAGCAGCGACUGUUACAUGAAAGUCAGGUUGAUGACCUUACUAGAUUUUCAG
rnacentral:rRNA from 1 species